rnacentral:rRNA from 1 species
CUACGGGUGGCAGCAGUGAGGAAUCUUGCGCAAUGGGGGAAACCCUGACGCAGCCACGCCGCGUGGGUGAAGAAGGCUUUCGGGUCGUAAAGCCCUGUCAGGUGGGAAGAAACGCAUUGAGUCGAAUAAACUCUUUGCCUGACGGUACCACCAAAGGAAGCACCGGGUAACUCCGUGCCAGCAGCCGCGGUAAUACGGAGGGUGAAGCGUUGUUCGGAAUUACUGGGCGUAAAGGGUGUGCAGGCGGCUACAUAAGUCGGAUGUGAAAGCCCUCGGCUUAACCGAGGAAGUGCAUCCGGCCUGUGUAGCUUGAGUCCCGGAGAGGGGGAUGGAAUUCCCGGUGUAGAGGUGAAAUUCGUAGAUAUCGGGAGGAACACCAGUGGCGAAGGCGAUCCCCUGGACGAGGACUGACGCUCAUACACGAAAGCGUGGGUAGCAAACAGGAUUAGAUACCCCGGUAGUC